AUGCAGUCGAACGGCAGCACGGGGGCAACCCUGGUGGCGAGUGGCGAACGGGUGAGUAACAUAUCGGAACAUAUCCGGAAGUGGGGGAUAACGUACCGAAAGGUACGCUAAUACCGCAUAUGCCCUGAGGGGGAAAGGAGGGGAUCGCAAGACCUUUCGCUUUCGGAGUGGCCGAUAUCGGAUUAGCUAGUUGGUGAGGUAAAGGCUCACCAAGGCGACGAUCCGUAGCUGGUCUGAGAGGACGACCAGCCACACUGGAACUGAGACACGGUCCAGACUCCUACGGGAGGCAGCAGUGGGGAAUUUUGGACAAUGGGGGCAACCCUGAUCCAGCCAUGCCGCGUGAGUGAAGAAGGCCUUCGGGUUGUAAAGCUCUUUCAGACGGAAAGAAACGGUCACGGCCAACACCCGUGACUAAUGACGGUACCGUCAGAAGAAGCACCGGCUAACUACGUGCCAGCAGCCGCGGUAAUACGUAGGGUGCGAGCGUUAAUCGGAAUUACUGGGCGUAAAGCGUGCGCAGGCGGUUUUGUAAGACAGACGUGAAAUCCCCGGGCUUAACCUGGGAACUGCGUUUGUGACUGCAAGACUAGAGUGUAGCAGAGGGGGGUAGAAUUCCACGUGUAGCAGUGAAAUGCGUAGAUAUGUGGAGGAAUACCGAUGGCGAAGGCAGCCCCCUGGGCUAACACUGACGCUCAUGCACGAAAGCGUGGGGAGCAAACAGGAUUAGAUACCCUGGUAAUCCACGCCCUAAACGAUGUCAACUAGGUGUUGGGGAAGGAGACUUCUUUAGUACCGCAGCUAACGCGAUAAGUUGACCGCCUGGGGAGUACGGUCGCAAGAUUAAAACUCAAAGGAAUUGACGGGACCCGCACAAGCGGUGGAUUAUGUGGAUUAAUUCGAUGCAACGCGAAAAACCUUACCUACCCUUGACAUGUCAGGAAGAUACCAGGGAUGGGAUUGUGCCCGAAAGGGAACCUGACACAGGUGCUGCAUGCUGUCGUCAGCUCGUGUCGUGAGAUGUUGGGUUAAGUCCCGCCAACGAGCGC
rnacentral:rRNA from 1 species